rnacentral:misc_RNA from 1 species
GAUGUCUCAGGCAAAAACCCAAAACCUGGAAGAUAAGGGUGGUUUGCAGAUAGCACAUUGAGAUACUUCUCUCUAUAGUCUUUUUGAUUAACCCAUGAACCCCUCAUGUACUCCAUGGGCAUGGGAGACUCCGAGAGCCCACAAACCCGAUGAUGAUGAAAUGCACCACCAUUAGUCGACGCCAUAACUGAAGGAUGGUCAGGUUGGUGGGAUUGUUGUUGUUGUUGGUGAUUAUCAUGAAUGUUGCGAAAAUGAG